rnacentral:rRNA from 1 species
GUGACAGCCGCCGCGGUAAUACAGAGGGUGCAAACGUUGCUCGGAAUUAUUGGGCGUAAAGCGCGUGUAGGCGGUUAACUAAGUCGGCCGUGAAAGCCCUUGGCUCAACCAAGGAAGUGCAGCCGAAACUGGUAAACUCGAGUCCUGAAGAGGGUGGCGGAAUGCCCAGUGUAGAGGUGAAAUUCGCAGAGAUUGGGUAGAACACCGGUGGCGAAGGCGGCCGCCUGGGAAGGUACUGACGCUGAGACGCGAGAGCGUGGGGAGCAAACAGGAUUAGAAACCCUAGUAGUCC